UUUAGACCUGCACACCAGUCCAGCGAGGAGGGCACGGUGCUAUUAUCUUCCCCACACUACAGGUGAGGAAACGGACGCCCUGAGUGUAAGGUGUGGCCCAAGUCAUGGUCAAUGGCAGAGCUGGGGCUGUCAGUCCGUCCUGCCCGGAGCUGUGGCAUGAAGAGGUCAGGCCAUUCCAGCUCAUGAAACAACUAAUAUUUGUUUGGUGCCACAAGGUUUACAGAGCCUGUUCACCCACACUGUUUCAUCGAUUCUCCCAGAACACAGAGGGAGAAUCUCGGCGGGAGAGGGAAUGUGCCUGCCGCAGAGUUCGAGUGGUCAGGAGGUCCGGCCCAGCUGUGUAAAAGCCCUCCACUUUGGCGUCAGACAAGCUGGGACUGGGCUCCGUCAUUUUCGGCUGUGUGACUCCGGGCCUGUGGCUGAACCUCUCAGCGCUUCCAUUUCUGUGUGUGAGACGGGGAUAGCGGCACUUGUCUGCUGGCGGAGCCUCUGUCUCCGCUGCACAUUGUGAUCCGCUGGGGAGAUUUUAAAAUACACUGACACCCAGGCCCCGGCCCAGAGGGGUCUGACAUCCCUGGGCUGGGGUGUGGCUGGACAUGGGGAGUUUUGUCCCCGGCGAUGGCCUGGGCUGAGAGCCUCUAUCCCUGCGGCUGUUGGAGGAUGAGCCGAGAUGCAACCCAGAAAUUGCCUGGCCUGUGGAGGUGCCACAUACAUCACACCCCCACUCCACCUGGCAGCCCAUCUGUUUUGUAAAAUACAUUCAUUGCCCCGUUGACGGAACAGCCACAGGUUCUAAAGGAAAAGUUCAUCUUCAGAGGAGCCAGGCCAGCAGGAUGGCAGGGGCCUGCUGAUGACCCUGG
rnacentral:lncRNA from 1 species